UUUCUAAGAAUUGAAAUGCAAUCUCUGUUUUGCUCUCUCUUUUGCUUUUGAAACUUCAAACAUAACGUUUCCUCCACCUGGAGUUCAUUCCCUUUGUUUUUCAUUUGGCUAAGGUCCUAGUCAAUGAUCGCAACUCCAGUGCCAUCUCAUCCAAGAAGCUUUGCCCACCCACUGCCCUAGCAAGGUGCAUGGCUUCUGUGCUCUCAAACAGACUUGUGCCUCACUGCUUUUUAACAAAGCACUCAUCACUCUGUAAUGCAAUUAUCUAAUGUAAUAAUUGCUAAGAUUCAUGGACCCCGUGCUAGGUGCUGGACAUUCAGGGUUUUCAAGGACUGAGAAUGCACAUAUGGAUAGAACAAAUCUAGAAAUUCAAGCUACUUCUAUUGCUAAACAAGUAUAGAGUUUCAUAUAAAUAUAAUUCAUAAAAGGUAUAAACGGCAAGAGUUUCUACCCAAAGAUUUUGUGAAACACCUGGCAUUCUAGCUACAGCAGCAAAUUAUGGCAUCCCUUAGCCCCUCAGAGACCUCUGUCCUCAGCAGAUGUGACCGCCUUCUUGGAUCUCAGCAGUGCAAGGGUUCAGUGUGCCAGCAUCUCUACAUCUGAGGUCUUGCUGUCUUCUGCAGGCCUUCCAGCUGCUUUGAGAGAGAAGUGACCAAAGUAUUCUCACUUUUGAAGGGAGUGAAAUAAAACCUGGACAAACCAGGUUCUCAAAUUAAAAUUCAUGGAUCUUCCUAUUUUCCCAAGAAGAGCCUGUUUUUUUUCGUAUACUCCAUUGAAGCCAUUGCUGGUGGACAAUUUUCAUAGCAUUUUCUUCUCUUUUGUUUUGAAAGGCAUUGAUUAGUAAGUAGGACAUUUCUGUUCAGCAAUUGCCCUUUGAAGUUUUAUUCAAACACAGAAUUUACUGUAAAA
rnacentral:lncRNA from 1 species